rnacentral:rRNA from 1 species
AUUGAACGCUAGCGGGAUGCUUUACACAUGCAAGUCGAACGAGUGGCGGACGGGUGAGUCAUAUAUCGGAACGUGCCCAGUAGCGGGGGAUAACUACUCGAAAGAGUGGCUAAUACCGCAUCCUAUCGGAGCGGCCGAUAUGGGAUUAGCGAGUUGGUGGGGUAAAGGCUCACGAAGGCAACGAUCCGUAGCUGGUUUGAGAGGAGGACCAGCCGCACUGGGACUGAGACAAGGCCCAGACUCCGACGUGAGGCAGCAGUGGGGAAUUUUGGACCAUGGGGGAAACCCUGAUCCAGCCAUCCCGCGUGUAUGAGAAGGCCUUCGGGUUGGAAAGUACUUUUGGCAGAGAAGCGGUAUCUGCAGAAUAAGCACCGGCUAACUACGUGCCAGCAGCCGCGGUAAUUC